UACGUAGGGUGCAAGCGUUGUCCGGAAUUAUUGGGCGUAAAGAGCUCGUAGGCGGUCUGUCGCGUCUGCUGUGAAAACUCAGGGCUUAACCCUGAGCUUGCAGUGGGUACGGGCAGACUAGAGUGCGGUAGGGGAGACUGGAAUUCCUGGUGUAGCGGUGAAAUGCGCAGAUAUCAGGAGGAACACCGGUGGCGAAGGCGGGUCUCUGGGCCGUAACUGACGCUGGAGGGAGCGAAAAGCAUGGGGAGCGAACAGG
rnacentral:rRNA from 1 species